rnacentral:rRNA from 1 species
AUUGAACGCUGGCGGCAUGCCUUACACAUGCAAAUCGAACGGUAACGGGCCUUCGGGUGCCGACGAGUGGCGAACGGGUGAGUAAUACAUCGGAACGUGCCCGAUCGUGGGGGAUAACGAGGCGAAAGCUUUGCUAAUACCGCAUACGAUCUACGGAUGAAAGCAGGGGACCGCAAGGCCUUGCGCGGACGGAGCGGCCGAUGGCAGAUUAGGUAGUUGGUGGGAUAAAAGCUUACCAAGCCGACGAUCUGUAGCUGGUCUGAGAGGAUGAUCAGCCACACUGGGACGGAGACGCGCCCGAGACGCCUAGGGGAGGGACCGGUGGGGAUUUGUGGACAAGGGGCGAAAGCGUGACCCAGCAAGGCCGCGUGCAGGAGGAGGGCCUUGGGUUUGAAAAUUUAUUUUAUAGGGAAAAAAAACCUUUCUUUAAAAAAGGGGGGGUCAUGAGGGUACCGAAAAAAAAAGCCCCGGCUAACUACGUG